UGACCACCUCACUAUUUAUUCCAGCGAGUUGAAGGGUAUAAAGCUGCAACCAAUAUUUGCUUCAAUAUUCAAACAUUUAUUUAAUAAACCUAACUUUAGUUCGAUAUUUAGUGUGUCAUUUCAUACUAAAGCCAUCAAUGAAGAACUAUUGCCAAAUCUUUAUGAUGCUCUAUACUUGUUGGUACCUGAUAAAAUUGGGGUUGGACUUGCUUUGUCUAAUUCUGAAGAACACGAUAUCAUCAUGAUACCAGGAUGUGUGGUUAGUUAUUCUCUUCUUUGUACAUACAUUUAGACAUAAUUUUUUAUUUAGUUGUAGGAAGUGGAAUACAUACAACACUUUAUUAUUUUUAUCUCCUUGGAAUUCUUCUACUUGUUGCACUAAACCUGUAACCCUUUUCUUGGCUGUGUAUUCAGGAAAGACUUUCUGUUUGAGUCAGAUUGCAGAGCUGCUGUGUACCAAUCCCAUUGCGUUUGAGGCUAUUGAGAUAAUUCAGCAUAUUCUCGUGUUACUCUUAGUCAAUUUGAAGGCUGCUCUAAGCAUUUAGAUUCGUUCUUGCAAAUGUUAUCUCUCGUGGAACUAAGGUGUUUUCUGAGAUAGUUCCUAGUACAUAAAUAGACUAGAAAGUACUUAGUCGAUCUGAAGGUCGAGGGUGGUAGUGGGCGACUGAGUUCUUAACUUAAAAGAUGAGGGGGACACGGUGGAAAACUGAAGGCAAAAGUCUAUUUAUUGAUUUUUGAGCUUGCUUUGUGAUUUUCUGUUUCUUGGUUGUUGCGCCUCUAUUUUUCCUACUUAUUUAAUUCAUUCUUUGCUGCAUUUUGCAGCUUAUAAUUGAUCUGUUACAUAUAUUAUAUUUUUGUUUGUUAUACUCUACCUGACGUUUUUCUACUUUUUCUAAUCCACUUUUUGCUACCUUGCAGCAUAAUUAAUUCAUACAUACAUAGAUACAUCCUAUUUUUCUUUGUCUCAUAUGCCCUAUACAAAUAUGUGCUAUAUAAGUGUUUCUUUGAUAUGUAAACCCCAUUGAUUGUCAAGUCUUGGCUUCUUAAUAUAUCUGUUAAAUGUUUUUAUAGGCUCUUUCCCAGUUACUUACUACACACAUUUCCUUUUUACUUUGGCAUUCAGUUUGCAGGACUUGCAUCUAAAAAAGAAAUCGUGGGCCUUGGAAACUGGUUGAUGACUCAAUUAGUGUCAAGUAAAGAUACUUUAUAUGAGGAAUGGAAAUUGCAGCUUGUUGCCACUAUGUGGUAAAUACUUGACUACUUCGAUUUCUGUAUAUUUGAGUUUGUUUUCUUUACCUGUCCGUUUGAUGAUUAUGAUUGAUACAACAAAUUCUGGUUUACUGAGUGAACAUAAGAACAGAUUAAUAGUGUUGUAAUAUACUGUUCAACUUAACUAUGAGUUGUAAUGUUACCCCGUUCUAAAAUUUUCAGCUUGUCUGUAAUGUUUAUCCUUUGUGAAUGCUUCUGCUUGUGUAUUGCUGCAUCAACUUCUGACUCACCAUAUGCUGUGUAUUGCUGCAUCAACUUGUGACUCACCAUAUGCUGUGUAUUGCUGCAUCAACUUGUGACUCACCAUAUGCUGUGUAUUGCUUGAGCUGCUUUAGAUGCUUUGGGGAAGCUUGCAAAUUCAAGAGUUUGUUCCUUCCUAGGUUAUUGGUUAAUGUUAUUGUUUUGAAUUUUAGUCUAACCUUGGAUUUAUGACAUUCCCAUGUUUUCCUUCGAGAGUAAGGUAUUAGAGCAGUUUCUGGACCGUCUCAUUGAGUAGUACUGCUCCAGUUUAGUUUUGACCACCUCACUAUUUAUUCCAGCGAGUUGAAGGCCAUCAAUGAAGAACUUCUGCAUAAUCAGAUGCUCUACACUUGUCUGUACCUGAUAAAAUUGAAGUUGGUCUAGCUUUGUCUAAUUCUGAAGAACACGAUACCAGGAUGUGUGGAAAGAAAUUCUUUUUGGGUCAGAUUUCAAAGCUGUGUGCCAAUCCUUUUGCACUUGAGGCUACUGUGAUAAUUCAGCAUAUUCUUUUUAAAGUGAUCUGUUUGGUCAAGUUCCUCAACAAUUUAUUUUGACCUAACAUCUCUUAUAUGCUAGUUAGAUCAGUCAUUAAGCAUCAACGCGUGACUCACCUUACGUUGGGUAUUGCUUUACGAGCUGUUUUAGAUGCUUUGUGGAAGCCUGCAGAUUCGGAAGUUUGUUCCUUCCUAGGUUAUCAGUGAAUGUUAUUAUUGUGAAUUACAGUCUGACCUUGGAUUUAUGACAUUAUGAUGUUUUCAUUUGGGAGUAAGGCAUUGGAGCAGUUUGUGGACCGUCUUAUUGAGUGGCCACAAUACUGCCAUCAUAUCCUACACUUUGCAGCAUUUAUAGAGAGGGAUCUUAACAGUAUUUCAACGGCUUAUACUUAACCUGAUGUUGGCCCAUAGUGCCAAUGCUGAUCAUCGACGCGGUCAUUUUGGUUUCAGAUUGCAGGCCCAUCAUUUUCUCUUAUCGGACCUGGCAGCAUCUCGUGUGGAUUAGCAAUUCCCCUCUUCGAUCUCACUACAACAGAGACCACCAAGUUCUCUAGAUGAGAGUUGACUCCUGAUUACAUGAAGCCAUCACAACACACCUACCCUUCCU